AUUGAACGCUGGCGGCAUGCCUUACACAUGCAAGUCGAACGGCAGCACGGGUGCUUGCACCUGGUGGCGAGUGGCGAACGGGUGAGUAAUAUAUCGGAACGUACCUUAUUGUGGGGGAUAACGCAGCGAAAGCUGUGCUAAUACCGCAUAAUCCCUAAGGGGGAAAGCGGGGGACCGUAAGGCCUCGCGCAAUUAGAGCGGCCGAUACCUGAUUAGCUAGUUGGUGAGGUAAAGGCUCACCAAGGCAACGAUCAGUAGCUGGUCUGAGAGGACGAUCAGCCACACUGGGACUGAGACACGGCCCAGACUCCUACGGGAGGCAGCAGUGGGGAAUUUUGGACAAUGGGCGCAAGCCUAAUCCAGCAAUGCCGCGUGCAGGAAGAAGGCCUUCGGGUUGUAAACUGCUUUUGUACGGAACGAAACGGUCUGGGUUAAUACCCUGGGCUAAUGACGGUACCGUAAGAAUAAGCACCGGCUAACUACGUGCCAGCCGCCGCCGUAA
rnacentral:rRNA from 1 species